UCACCAUGUCCAAACACGGUGAACCAUUCACCGUGUUCUCUCUGUAUUACUACCCCGAUCGAGCUUCCACCUUUCUCUCUCUCUCUCUCUCUCUCUCUUGGCCCGCUCCGGCACCGCCCUCUCUCUCUCUCUCUUUCUAUGGCCUACCUCGCCGCCGUCGACCUCUCUUGCCCGACCAGUUUUCCCACCCUCAUUCUCUCUUUAACUUAGUACCCUUCACCUCUCUCUCUCUCUCUCUCUAUGGCCCACCCAGCUGCCGCCGUUGUAGCCGCCUCCGCUGCCCUCUAACUCCCCAUUCCUCAUUCUCUCUUUAACCCUAAAACCUCCCACCUCUUUCUUGCUCUCA
rnacentral:lncRNA from 1 species